CUGAGACUCAGGGUGGCAGAUGUCAAGUCCUUCAUUGUUCAGUUUAAGCUCAGAGAAAGUCGUUUGGGAAUUUAUGUCUCUGUGGUGUGGCACUGAACCAAUGGCUGAGAGGCAUAGGAGUAUAAACACUUCCGUUCCCUUGUGCCUGAUGAAGAUGGCUUCGAGCAAAGCAGUUGCUGCUACAGAUUGAAUGCAUCUGGGCCAUCCGUGGGUUACUGGCUUAAGGAUUUUUGAUAGGAAGACUACGGGUUGUCAGUGGCCUCCAUGCUUUUGGGUAAGUACUUCUAGGGCUACGCCCUUGUUUACAGUGGCAAAAAGAUGGAAAGGCUGCUUAAGGAGGGUAAAGCUAGGACGGGGGCAGUUACUAAUAGAUGUUUUAAUCUUCCCACCUAUUGGAUUUCUGGUAAUUGCCCAAUGAGGCGGUUUAGCCCGUCUUUCAUGAGCUUUUUGUAUAAGCGUUUUGUUUUUAAGGCAUAAGAGUCUAUCCAUAGAUGACAGUAACUGACUCAUUCUAACAUUUUCUAAGUUCUUGUUUAGUCUCCGGCAGAGGCAAGGAUAUGAUGCCUUCAAUCCAUUCAAACUCAGUUUUCCAUUUGCCUUUGUUAAUUAAAUGACUUGUUCAAAUAUUUGACUAAAUAAAUUUGGAGACUCCAUAAACCCUUGGGAUAAGACUGUCUAUCAGUAUUGCUAUUUUUGACCAGAGUGAGGGUCUUCUCACUGAAAGGCAAAUAGGUCCCGGCUGUCCUCUGCUAAUGGACAAGCCCAGAAGGCAUCUUUUAAAUUUAUUACUGUAAACCAGUGGUGACAGCUUGGGAUCCUACUGAUAAUAGUAUAAGGAUUGGGAACAACAGGGUGUGUAGUUUGGAUUAUUUGAUUAAUAGCUGUAAGGUCUUGUACUGACCAGUAUGACCCAUCUGGCUUCUUUACAGGCAGUAUUGGAGUGUUAUAGGGAGACAUACAGGGUUUCAGAAGCCCAUCACAGAGAAGACCUUCAAUUAUCAAUUAUAUGUUUUAAAUUUACCCUGGCUUUUAAAGGAAUAGGGUACACUGCUUUCGCUUUACUACUUCCCCAGGGGUUUUUAAUUUAACAUGAAUCAGAGGAAUCUGUAACUUUCCUUGAUUCCCAUCUAUUGACCAUACCUUGGGAUAAAUGUGUUCUUCGUCUGCGGUGGUGAGCAAGUUUAGGGAGGGGAGGAAUUUUCCAUGAUUGAUUUGUAGGCCUAAGCCUAAUUCUAGCAUUAAAUCUCUUCCUAAAAGAUUUUUCUCUGCUUCCAGAAUUAACAGGCAUCUAAUAUUAGCUGAUUUGCUUUUAUAUAUGACUUUUGUUCUUUUUCCCAUUUGGGACAUUCUCUUUUGAAGUGACCUAUUUUUAAUUUGAAACAUUUGUUUUGUCUUCUUUCUCUCCCUUUGCUCCUCCCUCUC
rnacentral:lncRNA from 1 species